rnacentral:rRNA from 1 species
CAGUACCACGGUAAUACGGAGGGAGCUAGCGUUGUUCGGAAUUACUGGGCGUAAAGCGCGCGUAGGCGGUUACUCAAGUCAGAGGUGAAAGCCCGGGGCUCAACCCCGGAACUGCCUUUGAAACUAGGUGACUAGAAUCUUGGAGAGGUCAGUGGAAUUCCGAGUGUAGAGGUGAAAUUCGUAGAUAUUCGGAAGAACACCAGUGGCGAAGGCGACUGACUGGACAAGUAUUGACGCUGAGGUGCGAAAGCGUGGGGAGCAAACAGGAUUAGAUACCCCCGUAGUCCCUGUCUCUUAUACC